UCUAUGCACACAUCGUUUGAGAGUAUUUUCUUGCACUCAUUACGGCAAAAGUGAACCAAAUAUUCUUAUGCUCUCUGCCUGGAGUGACUGCAUAGAGAAUGCUGUGAUUCUGGUAUUUUGCUAGGCGGGAAAAUGGGAAAAAAAUGGCGUUUUUCAGAAUGGAUGGCACUUAUUUUAAAAGGAUCUCUUUUUCAAGUCCACUUUUAGAAUGAUGCCCAGAAAACAGCAACAAUGCUACAGGUAGUUCUUGCUUAAUGACCACUUGCUCAGCAACCAUUCAAAGUUACAAUG